GCAAGUCGAGGGGUAACGAUAUCUUCGGAUAGGCGACGACCGGCGCACGGGUGAGUAACGCGUAUGCAACCUACCCAUUACUGGAGCAUAGGCCGAAGAAAUUCGGAUUAAUACUCCAUAAUAUCAUUAGAUCUCAUGUUCUGAUGAUUAAAGCUCCGGCGGUAAUGGAUGGGCAUGCGUGACAUUAGUUUGUUGGUGAGGUAACGGCUCACCAAGACUGCGAUGUCUAGGGGGUCUGAGAGGAUGAUC
rnacentral:rRNA from 1 species